rnacentral:rRNA from 1 species
GAUUAACGCUGGCGGCGUGCCUAACACAUGCAAGUCGAGCGGCAGCGAGUUUUACACUGACUUCUGGAAGCUUCUAGUUGAAAGAGAAGAUUUAUUCAAGAAUUUUGUGUAAAAUGUCGGCGAGCGGCGGACGGCUGAGUAACGCGUGGGAACGUACCCCAAAGUGAGGGAUAACGCAUCGAAAGGUGUGCUAAUACCGCAUAUGGUCUUCGGAUUAAAGCCUUCGGGCGCUUUGGGAACGGCCUGCGUAAGAUUAGAUAGUUGGUGGGGUAAUGGCCUACCAAGUCGACGAUCUUUAACUGGUUUGAGAGGAUGAUCAGUCAGGCUGGAACUGAGACACGGUCCAGACUCCUACGGGAGGCAGCAGUGAGGAAUCUUCCACAAUGGGCGAAAGCCUGAUGGAGCAACGCCGCGUGCAGGAUGAAGGCCUUCGGGUUGUAAACUGCUUUUAUAAGUGAGGAUUAUGACAGUAACUUAUGAAUAAGGAUCGGCUAACUACGUG